ACGGGAGGCAGCAGUAGGGAAUUUUCGGCAAUGGGGGCAACCCUGACCGAGCAAUGCCGCGUGAAUGAUGAAAUUCUUCGGAAUGUAAAGUUCUGUUAUUAGGGAAGAAUGAUAGUGAUAGGAAAUGAUCAUUAUUUGACGGUACCUAAUUAGAAAGCCCCGGCUAACUAUGUGCCAGCAGCCGCGGUAAUACAUAGGGGGCGAGCGUUAUCCGGAAUUAUUGGGCGUAAAGCGUGCGUAGGCGGUUUAUUAAGUCUGGUGUAAAAUCCCACAGCUUAACUGUGGCGGGCAUUGGAAACUGGUAAACUUGAGUACGGUAGAGGUAAGUGGAAUUCCAAGUGAAGCGGUGGAAUGCGUAGAUAUUUGGAGGAACACCAGUGGCGAAGGCGGCUUACUGGGCCGGAACUGACGCUGAGGCACGAAAGCGUGGGGAGCAAACAGGAUUAGAUACCCUGGUA
rnacentral:rRNA from 1 species